rnacentral:rRNA from 1 species
CCCGGCACAAGCGGUGGAGCAUGUGGUUUAAUUCGAUGCAACGCGAAGAACCUUACCUGGGCUUGACAUCCACGGAACCUGCUGGAAACAGUGGGUGCCUUUCGGGGAGCCGUGAGACAGGUGCUGCAUGGCUGUCGUCAGCUCGUGUCGUGAGAUGUUGGGUUAAGUCCCGCAACGAGCGCAACCCUUGUCUUUAAUUGCCAUCAUUCAGUUGGGCACUUUAAAGAGACUGUCGGUGUUAAACCGGAGGAAGGUGGGGAUGACGUCAAGUCCUCAUGGCCUUUAUGCCCAGGGCUACACACGUGCUACAAUGGCGCAUACAGAGGGGAGCGAAGCCGUGAGGUGGAGCGAAUCUUGUCAAAGUGCGCCUCAAUUCGGAUUGCAGUCUGCAACUCGACUGCAUGAAGUUGGAAUCGCUAGUAAUCGCGGAUCAGCAAAGCCGCGGUGAAUACGUUCCCGGGCCUU